UACGUAGGGGGCAAGCGUUGUCCGGAUUUAUUGGGCGUAAAGCGCUCGCAGGUGGUUCGUCGCGUCGUGCGUGAAAGACCCCGGCUCAACUGGGGGAGGUCGUGCGAUACGGGCGGACUGGAGGCCAGUAGGGGGAUGCGGAAUUCCGGGUGUAGUGGUGGAAUGCGUAGAGAUCCGGAGGAACACCGACGGCGCAGGCAGCGUCCUGGCCGCUUGCUGACACUGAGGCACGAAAGCUGGGGGAGCAAACAGG
rnacentral:rRNA from 1 species